rnacentral:rRNA from 1 species
AUCAUUAAGCGGUGGAAGAGAAAACAAAAGUGAUAUCCUUAGUAACGGCGAGCGAACAGGAUGAAGCCCAACGCAAAGGCAAACUGCUUAUUUGAGUGGUUGGCGAUGCUGCGUGUGGGCGCGGUGCUUGAGUUUAGAUUUGCCUGCUGGCGUGUGUACAAACGAGUUACCUAGUAGCUGACCAGAGCGGGUUGAAGUCCCGUAUGUACACUGUAAGUCYACAGACAACAGUACGAAGGCCUGCGCCUGAGAGUAGGAUUGCUUGAAAGUGCAAUUUGAAGUAGGAGGUAUGCAUCUCCUAAGGCUAAAUAUUACUGCGAGACCGAUAGCGAACAAGUAGCGUAAGCGAAAGUUGAAAAGGACUUUGAAGAGAGAGUUCAAAGAGCGUGAAACCACUAGUAGGGAAACGGGUGUUACCUCGAGAAGGCGAUGCAAAUUCUGUGGUCGUGCGUGAAUUGCCUUUCGUGUGGGCAGUGGAUAGAGGCGAUUCGUCGUUUUGAUUCUGUUGUCUAUGCUUGGGCUACGUUGCGGCUAUAAAGCAGAUUUGAGGCCAGUAUGUAGUGCUCUUUCAAAGCUUGGUAUCUGUCAGUAGAGCCAACGCAGCACCUUCGGGAAGGUUGUGUUGGUCUGCAGGCUUGACUAUUUAGUGGCAGUUGACAAUUAUGUUGCGGAUUCACGUGGCUAAUUGUUCAGCUCUACAAGUUAGUACCGUUAGCAGAGGAAGAACAGUGCUGCAUAUAAGUAGAUCGGUAAGCACCUGUCCCGUCUUGAAACACGGACCAAGGAGCCUAGCGUGUGCGCAAGUCAUUCAGUGUGAAACAAAACUYGACUGGCGCAACGAAAGCAAUCUGGUGCAUUUYGGUGCACUGCUAUUAGGCGUUGAUUCUUUGCGAACAGCGUCGCAGUAGCAAUGCGGUGCCUUGCGCGCCGUAUCAGAGCGCACACGGUAGUACCCGAAAGAUGGUGAACUAUGCUUGAGCAGGAUGAAGCCAAAGGAAACUUUGGUGGAAGUCUGUAGCAGUUUUGACGUGCAAAUCGAUUGUCAGACUCGAGUAUAGCGGCGAAAGACUAAUCGAACCAUCUAGUAGCUGGUUUCCUUCGAAAUUUCCCGCAGGAUAGCAAGCGCGUUACAAAUCAUUCGAAUCUGUUACAGUCUCAAUAGAAGGUAACGGGGCGUUAAUUGACCUUGUCCUUUUCCUAAACUUGGUCAAUGGAUUCCACUUGUGCGUACUUGCAUGCUUGCUGCAUGCAAUAAAACAAACAAACUGGCUGAUGAUUUGCGCUUAGUGGGCCAUUUUUGGUAAGCAGAACUGGCGAUGUGGGAUGAACCGUACACAGAGUUAAAGUGCCUAACUGAUAUACGCUAAGAAGAUCCCAUUAAAGAUGUUGUUCGCUUAAGACAGUAGGGCGGUGGCCAUGGAAGUCGGCAUCCGCUAAGGAGUGUGUAACAACUCACCUACCGAAGCGUUCAACUCUGAAAAUGGAUGGCGCUCAAGCGUUCGACUGAAACUCUGUCGUAUCAAGUAAAUCCUGUGAAAGGCUUCUUUCUCGAACAACAGACUGAAGAUCAGACUGAUACGAGUAGGAGGAAUGUGGCGAUGGCGUUGAAGCUUUUGACGUAAGUCUGGGUGGAGCCGUUGCUAGURCAGAUCUUGGUGGUAGUAGCAAACAGAAAAGUGACAUCCUUUUUGACCGACGUGGAUAAGGGUUCCAUGUGAACAGUAUUUGGUCAUGGGUUAGUCGAUCCUGAGGGGCGCGGCGAAAGCCGUAUCGUAAGUAGUGUCCUUUGCUGGAUGCGCCUCGAAAGGGAAUGCGGUUAAUAUUCCGCAACCUUGUUAGCGUAUUGUUUGCAGUCAAAUGCAAACAGUAGCGGCAACGCUUUCRAACCCAGAGACGUGAGCCAAAGUCCUGGAAAGAGAUAUCUUCUCUUUUUUAAGCUGCUUUUGUCAAGUGCCUUGAAACAGUUUAGCUGGAGACAGGCAUGUACACAGCGAAUUGCAUCGCGCUUCAUGCGGUGUGUCAGUGCGCUUUGGUUAACCCUUGAAAAUCUGGGUAAGUGUUCAGAACGYUACAAGAUCGUACCUAGAUCCGCAACCGGUAUCCUAGGUGAACAGCCUCUGGUCUAUUAGAAUAAUGUAAGUAAGGGAAGUCGGCAAAACUGAUCUGUAUCUUUGGUACAAAGAUUGGCUCUGGCGAGUUUGCCAAUUGCGUCGUACUUAGUAAGUGUGGGCACGCUGGUCACGGUACUGGCGGGUAGCUUUCGGGCAGCCUGCUGGAACUUAGAUCGCGACCUGUAYUGAAAAGUGCGAGUACGGUUGGCAAAUAAAACAAAUAGUCAGAACUAUCAUUGACUUUUCGGAAUCUGACUGUUUAAUUAAAACAUAGCAUCGAGAUGACUGGUGACCCAGUGUUGACUCGAUGUGAAUUCUGCCCAGUGCUCUGAAUGUCAACGUGUAGAAAUUCAAUGAAGCGCGGGUAAACGGCGGGAGUAACUAUGACUCUCUUAAGGUAGCCAAAUGCCUCGUCAUCUAAUUAGUGACGUGCAUGAAUGGAUUAACGAGAUUCCAUCUGUCCCUACUUACUAUCUAGCGAAACCACAGCCAAGGGAACGGGCUUGGCGAGAUCAGCGGGGAAAGAAGACCCUGUUGAGCUUGACUCUAGUCUGGCAUUGUGAGGAAACUGUAUUCGGUAUAGCAUAGGUGGGAGAUACUUUCGGGUAUCGUUAUCAACUGUAAAACCACCACGAUACAGCACCACUCACUGACUUGAUUAUGAGGCUUACUUUGUGUACCAAUUUCGGUUGGGCGCAAAGGAAACUUUCUCAUAGCGCAUCAAGUCGGGAUUUCUGAAUUGCUUGCAAUUUAGAAGCCAUAUUCCGUCGAGGCAUUAUUCAAGGACAGUGCCAGGCGGGGAGUUUGACUGGGGCGGUACAUCUAUCAAAUGUUAACGUAGGUGUCCUAAUGUUAGCUCAGUGAGACCAGAAAUCUCACGUAGAAUAUAAGGGUACAAGCUGGCUUGAUUCUGAAUAUCAGUACAAUUGCGAGACAAGAAAUUGUGGCCUAACGAUCCUUUUGACAAGCAAAACACUAUCAAUGCAUAAUACAAGAGGUGUCAGAAAAGUUACCACAGGGAUAACUGGCUUGUGGCGGCCAAGCGUUCAUAGCGACGCCGCUUUUUGAUCCUUCGAUGUC